CACUGAAACGCUUCUCAGAGUUUAGAUGUAAGGAGAUAUCGUAUUCAUUUUCCUGCCUUUAAUGCGUACCCCGGGAAUAAAAGACAACAAAUAAAACCUGGGGGGCAGAGCGCAUGCCUGUCAUUUUUCCCCCCCUCGUGUUCCUCCAGGUCGCCCUCGUCGUAAAUAGUCCCGAGGUUCGGCCAGCAGAACUCUCACCCCGAGUUUGACGCGUGAUUCAUUCCGCCGGAGGAAUAAGAUGCAGGUCACCGUCAACAAAGCCAACAGCCAUCAACAUCCUGACAAUCAAACAAGAGUUUCAUCAGCGCUUGGCCAACGUAGACCUCAGAGCUGCAAAGUGAGGUGAAGAAUCAACGACAAAUGAUGAUGACAAGAAGAGAGGCAAACACUAAUCGGGACCAGCGUCUGCAAAAUGUGCAGAGUAGGAAUUUCGUGCAGCGGUGGCUGUGAGAGCUGCCAACAUGAGGGGAAAAGACAAAGAAUGAUACAAAGAGAACGAGAAAGACCAACGUGAGAGAGAAAGAGAUGCAUGACGAAUGUUCCCUCUUUCCAAAAAACGAGUGGAUGGACUUAUAGCAGCAAAACCUCAGUUUUCCUCCUUUGACUCCUUUUCCUGGUGUUCCUGGAAGGCUGGAUCGCUCGGUGGAAUAUGAGCCACACGCAGGGCCACAUAUGCAUCCUGUCCCAGACCUGCCGGCGCGCUGCUGAUCCCAGACCAGCGGGGCCGAUCCCUCAUGAAUGCUAGGACUCUGAGUUAAAAGAGCUGACACUGACCGCAGAGCUGUGCCAACCCUCCACCACACAUACCUGCAAAGAAUUGCCCAGAGUUAUAUAUGAAAAUAUAUAUUUUAGGUUACACUAAUUUACAGUCUGGAAGGAUCGUUGGAUUGUCAUGAUUCUGUGGCAGGACAGCGUGGAGGGAAAUGUGCUAUUAAGAAAUGAGUUAUGAAAGAAGAAGUGAUUGUUAUAGACUCUACAGGCUAUAAUCAGGUCAUUCAAUAUGAGAUUUAUUUUAAAAAAUAAUUAAAAAAAAGUCGACCUUUUUUGUGUCUUUGACUACUAUGUACUUACAUAUAAAAUGAGUG